rnacentral:rRNA from 1 species
GACGAACGCUGGCGGCGUGCUUAACACAUGCAAGUCGAACGGUGAACCAGGGCUUGCCCUGGGGAUCAGUGGCGAACGGGUGAGUAACACGUGACCAACCUGCCCUUGGCACUGGGAUAACCCCCGGAAACGGGAGCUAAUACCAGAUACGACCACUUCGGGCAUCCGAUGGUGGUGGAAAGUUCCGGCGGUGAAGGAUGAGCUCGCGGCCUAUCAGCUUGUUGGUGAGGUAAUGGCUCACCAAGGCUUCGACGGGUAGCCGGCCUGAGAGGGUGACCGGCCACACUGGGACUGAGACACGGCCCAGACUCCUACGGGAGGCAGCAGUGGGGAAUAUUGGACAAUGGGCGAAAGCCUGAUCCAGCAACGCCGCGUGAGGGAUGACGGCCUUCGGGUUGUAAACCUCUUUCAGCAGGGACGAAGCGAAAGCGACGGUACCUGCAGAAGAAGGACCGGCCAACUACGUGCCAGCCGCCGCAGUAAUAC